rnacentral:rRNA from 1 species
GUCUACAGUCAUACCACCCUGAACGCGCCCAAUCUUGUCUGAUCUCGGAAGCUAAGCAGGGUUGGGCCUGGUUAGUACUGGAUGGGAGAAAAUAGCCAAUUUUUGAAACUUAUGCAAUGAAGAAU